CCUGGCUAGGGAACUCCUGACACCAAGGGGGACCCCGGGAUGAGGGCGUUGGAGGGUGAAAGACUGGGUCUCAGCUCAGCCAAUCAAGAGCGUAGUUCUGAAGAAGCCCAGUUGCGGGAAAGGAGUGAAUGUGGCGGCCCCCAGAGGUGCGCCCAGCUGCUCCUCCGUCUGUGGGCUUUUCCCACGGCCUUCUCAGGAGCGCCGCCCAGCAGCUCCGCUGGAAGUGGUACUGGAGUGUCUGUCCUCCACAAGUGUCCUCACACAACUGUCCUCAAGUAUCCUUGGGCUCACAGUUUAAGCCGUCUUCAGCUGGAGCUCCAGCAUCACCGAUGAGUGGGCCUGCCCUUUCUUCCCAAACUCAGAGAACUGGAAUGGGUUUCCUUACCUGGGACCUGCAGUUGACUGGGGAAUGGAAUCCAGGAUUCUGAGUGCAGAAGUUUCCAGAUUCAGCCACCAGAGGAUUUCCUGUCGCGUCUGUUUGCUUAUGACUCAUAAAAUCUUAAUAUAGCCCCGAGACUGUCAUGUUUACAGACAGUGCAGCAAAGGCAGUGGCUUGGAGUGUGACCAGAGAGUUUGCAGAACAAACGCACCAGGGAGGGGCUUGGAUGGAAAUAACCAAGCGCUCUCCCCGCAGGGUAAGGCAGGACAGCCGGGCAGCCCCCGUCUGGUUCCCCCAACUGUGAGCAGAACGCUGGGCUACAAUCUAGGCUGAAGCUUCAGUGUACUGGCUUUUAGCAAAAAGCCCCCAUACUGCUCCUGGGGCAGAGGAUCUUCCUGGAGAGGGGCCCUGGGCUGGGCUCCACAGCAUCUGGGAAGGCAGAGGGCAUUUCUGGGGGAGAGGGCAUGAGCAAGUACGGGGAGGCUGGAUGGGCACAGCACAGGUGAGGGCAGCAGAGGCAGCACCUGGAGAGAGGGCUUUUGUUGGGGGAACGGUGAGAGAUAAGCUCACCCUAGUCCUGGCUUUGGAGAUGAGAAGAAGAAACAAAAAUGAAGCAAAAUACUUGUCACUGUAGAGGAGCUUACAGUCCAGACGACCUGGGAGAAAUGAAUUUGAAAACAAAGGAAGAUUUAGGAGCUGCGCCUGUCAAUGUCAAGGUCCAGCCUGAGCCAUGGAAAAAGAAUAGAAUUGGCGUUAUGAGCUUUAAAGAAGUAAUUUCCAAAUAUUGGUCUUUGUGGAAAAAAUGAGAAAAGAAUCAAGUUUCCCUGGUCUAAGACUAAAUGUGAAAAGUAAAGAAAAUAUGGCGUCAGGAAGACAGAAGAAGCUGGACAGAAAGAGAUCAAGAUUUAACUGGUUAUGCUGUAGACCAUGGCAGAUCGUAACAGAAGACAAAGCCCUUAAAAGGACACAAUUGGAAGCACUGGAUAUAUUACAAGGCUUUGGCACAGAAACCUCAGGAUAUUCAGGGACCUCAAGAAGAGAGGAAUUCACUCAAAUCUAAAUGUAACAGAUGAAGCAUGAUGGUAGGUCAUUGGUUUGGCUUCAUAUCCUAAAGAGGCUUUCAGAAGUCUAAUCUGAGGUUCCUUACCAAAGAAAUGAAACUAUCCUCAUUAAAGGCCUGAUGGCUCACACCAUCCAGGAGAUCUCCUCUGCUACCAACUCCCAGCAGCUGAUUCAGCGGUCCUUCAUGAACAAUAGGCAACUGAACAAGAAAAUGAGUUUAUAUUGUUCAAAAGAAAGAAGAAUGCCUCUUUUUUCCCUUGAACAAGGGAGCAAGAAAAAAGCAAAGCAGGAAAGGGAUGUAAGAAAGAGUGAGAUGAAUAACACACUUCCAAGAGGGAGGGCUCAAAGAAGGAAAAGGAAAGAUCAAAUGAGUUCCUUAUAUCCCAAAAGAAACUGCAGACGCAACGGACCAACAAACUGAGCUCAACUGAACUCUGUAAGUUUCAAGCAGAGAUUCUGUGACAACAGAGAGAUGAAAGGCAAGUUGAGGAAACAAAUGGAAGAAAAAGAUAAAACAUUACAGUGACGGGAACCACGUUCAAAGCCACACAACCCUGAAAGCACAAGUUUGACAAAAUUGUGCAAAACAAACUGGCACAAAAAACAUGCAAGAUUGAUCGUAAAGAAGAUGUAAAUGGCAGGCAAAGGGCAACUGGUUUUUCCAAGAAGAGAACAGAAUGGAUGAAACUGAAAAGGCAUUCAAGGAACCAUGGGAAGCUGACUUUUCAGAAGGAGGACAUGGACUUCCAAUUCAACUGAGCACGUUGUAUCCCAGAAAGAGAAACAUAGACAGAGUGACCCAUGCUGAAGCAUAACUAUGGUUAGCUUCUGAACACAGUGACAAAGGCAGAAUCCUAUCAACCAAAAAGCCAAAGGAAACCAAAGCACAAAUUCCCCCACAGCAUUCAGCACCCGAGGAUGGUGGCCACAAUCUACAGUUUGGGGGAAAGGAAAUGUGGAUCAGCAGACCCUGGCACGUAUAAAGACCACACACAGAUGGCUUUACACGUGUGGGCACUCAGGGCGGACAGUUCCUAAAAGCCGUUUUUGACAGAACACUGAGGAAUCAAACUGUAGAUCUUAGGAACAAGGAACUGUGCUGAAAACGAAUGACAGUGAACACAGAAUCCAUUCUAUUUUGGAAUUAAGACCCCAGUAACUAGUGAAAUUGUGUUAUAAAACAGAGAGUAACUCUUAUAAACAUGGCCGGUGUAAAUCAUGAUGUCAUCACCAAAUCGGAAAAGGAGGUGAGGGAACGCUGGCACUUCCCUCAUCUUUCAGAGCAGGAAGUAAAACUUGAAACAUGCAGUCAUAUCAAAAUCCAAUAACCUUGAAUAAUCACUCUUUGUCUACCCUUUUCUCCCCUUGACUUUGAAGGGAUCAUUUGGUCCUUUUUAUAUUGCUUGAAUUUGUUUUUUUCAUUGAU
rnacentral:lncRNA from 1 species